UGGGGAGUAUUGGACAAUGGGGGCAACCCUGAUCCAGCAAUGCCGCGUGAGUGAUGAAGGCCUUAGGGUUGUAAAGCUCUUUCGACGGGGAAGAUGAUGACGGUACCCGUAGAAGAAGCCCCGGCUAACUUAAUGCCAGCAGCCGCGGUAAUACGAAGGGGGCUAGCGUUGUUCGGAUUUACUGGGCGUAAAGGGCGCGUAGGCGGUGCGAUAAGUCAGGCGUGAAAGCCCCGGGCUCAACCCGGGAAUAGCGCUUGAUACUGUUGCGCUUGAAUCCAGGAGAGGAUGGCGAAAUUCCCAGUGUAGAGGUGAAAUUCGUAGAUAUUGGGAAGAACACCAGUGGCGAAGGCGGCCAUCUGGCCUGGAAUUGACGCUGAGGCGCGAAAGCGUGGGGAGCAAA
rnacentral:rRNA from 1 species